rnacentral:rRNA from 1 species
AAGCUUAGGCGCUUAGAGGGGCUUCGUUCGAUAGCCGUUUGUAGGGUAAUGGCCACCAGGCGACAUCGAUAGCUUGUCUAGAGGUUGAUAGCCACACGGGAAUCGAACACGGUUCGAUCCACGGGGGGCAGCAUGAGGAUAUUGCACAUGGGGGAACCCUGAUGCAGCAACGCCGCGUGGAGGACGAAGGCAUUUUCGUAAAUCCUUUCUUUGGGAAAGAAAGGACGGUACCACAGGAACAAGUCACGGCUAAUACGCGCCAGCAGCCGCGGUAAUACGUAGGUGGCGAACGUCAUCCGGAAUACUGGGCGUAAAGCGCACGCAGGCCGUUUGAUAGUUUGAUGUGAAAGCUCAUGGCUUAACCGUGAGAGGUCAUCGGUACUUGUCAAAUUUGAGGCAAUGAGAGGGAUGCAAAUUUCCCGGUGUAUUGUUGGAAUGCGUAAUUUUCGGGAGGAAUACCAGUGGCGAAAGCGGCAUCCUGGCAUUUGUCCUGACGCUCCAUGUGCGAAAGCGUGGGUAGCGAACGGGAUUUAGAUACCCCGGUAGUCCACGCUGUAAACGAU